rnacentral:tRNA from 1 species
GCCGAGGUAGCUCAGCGGUAGAGCAACGGUUUCGUAAACCGUAGGUCAAGAGUUCAAAUCUCUUCCUCGGCU